rnacentral:rRNA from 1 species
AUUGAACGCUGGCGGCAGGCCUAACACAUGCAAGUCGAGCGGAUGAGAGGAGCUUGCUCUUCGAUUCAGCGGCGGACGGGUGAGUAAUGCCUAGGAAUCUGCCCAGUAGUGGGGGACAACGUUUCGAAAGGAACGCUAAUACCGCAUACGUCCUACGGGAGAAAGUGGGGGAUCUUCGGACCUCACGCUAUUGGAUGAGCCUAGGUCGGAUUAGCUAGUUGGUAGGGUAAAGGCCUACCAAGGCGACGAUCCGUAACUGGCCUGAGAGGAUGAACAGGCACACGGGAACGGAGACACGGUCCAGACUCCUACGGGAGGCAGCAGUGGGGAAUAUUGGACAAUGGGCGCGAGCCUGAUCCAGCCAUGCCGCGUGUGUGAAGAAGGCCCUCGGGUCGUAAAGCACUUUAAGUUGGGAGGAAGGGCUUACAGCGAAUACCUGUGAGUUUUGACGUUACCGACAGAAUAAGCACCGGCUAACUUCGUGCCAGCAGCCGCCGUAA